rnacentral:rRNA from 1 species
GGAUGUGCCCAGAUGGGAUUAGCUAGUAGGUGGGGUAACGGCUCACCUAGGCGACGAUCCCUAGCUGGUCUGAGAGGAUGACCAGCCACACUGGAACUGAGACACGGUCCAGACUCCUACGGGAGGCAGCAGUGGGGAAUAUUGCACAAUGGGCGCAAGCCUGAUGCAGCCAUGCCGCGUGUAUGAAGAAGGCCUUCGGGUUGUAAAGUACUUUCAGUGGGGAGGAAGGCGAUGAAGUUAAUAACUUCGUCGAUUGACGUUACCCGCAGAAGAAGCACCGGCUAACUCCGUGCCAGCAGCCGCGGUAAUACGGAGGGUGCAGGCGUUAAUCGGAAUUACUGGGCGUAAAGCCGCAGGCGGUCUGUCAAGUCGGAUGUGAAAUCCCCGGAGCUCAACCUGGGAACUGCAUUCGAAACUGGCAGGCUAGAGUCUUGUAGAGGGGGGUAGAAUUCCAGGUGUAGCGGUGAAAUGCGUAGAGAUCUGUGAGGAAUACCGGUGGCGAAGGCGGCCCCCUGGACAAAGACU